UACGUAGGGUGCGAGCGUUUAAUCGGAAUUACUGGGCGUAAAGCGUGCGCAGGCGGUCUCGCAAGUCCGAUGUGAAAAUCCCCCGGGCUCAACCUGGGAACUGCGUUGGAAACUACGAGGCUGGAGUACGGCAGAGGGGGGGUGGAAUUCCACGUGUAGCAGUGAAAUGCGUAGAUAUGUGGAGGAACACCGAUGGCGAAGGCAGCCCCCUGGGCUAGUACUGACGCUCAUGCACGAAAGCGUGGGGAGCAAACAGG
rnacentral:rRNA from 1 species